CCCAGAGUUUCAAACCCUAAGUUUUCAAAACACGAUUUUGUCUCACUUCGUCUCUUCUUCUCUCCCAACGGCGGAUAUUCACCAAAGUCCACCUCACUACGGCAGCCAGAGGAGUACACCGAAGUCCACCUCUCUUUGUCUCUCCCAACGAUUGAGGCGUUCUAAGCCGGUAAAGGGGGAUGAGGUGGCCUCCUGAAUAGUGGAGGUAUUGAAUGACGGCGAGUGAGAGUAUGAUGCCUCUUACGCACUACUAGAGCUGGAGGCUCAAUGGCUACCACCAACAUUUCUUCCUCGAUCAAAUCCGAUGAUUGUUCCACUCUUUUCCAAAGGCUUUCAGCAAACCUUUUCCCCCACAUAAGCUUUACAUGCACAAUAAUAUGUCUAUAUGUGAGCUACACUGCCUACAUUGUGGUUCACCAUAGGGAUGCCUAUAUGCCCAUGCCUAAAAAUUAAUUGGACAAGCUUGAGUAUGACACCACAGACCACAUGCAGGUAACCAUUAAUUGGACAAGCUUGUGGUUCUUGAUACCUUCUUCUUGGGAUGAGAAAAGUGUCUUGGUAGCAUUGGAGUUUAUCAUUUUUCUCUGUCAUAUUUUGUAAUAUAAAAUCUAUAAUUAGUAAAAGAAACAGCAAUUUACAUUCCAACUCACAAA